GACGAACGCUGGCGGCGUGCUUAACACAUGCAAGUCGAACGGAAAGGCCCCAGCUUGCUGGGGUACUCGAGUGGCGAACGGGUGAGUAACACGUGGGUGAUCUGCCCUGCACUCUGGGAUAAGCCUGGGAGACUGGGUCUAAUACCGGAUAGGACCGUGCUUUAGUGUGUGCGGUGGAAAGUUUUUCGGUGCAGGAUGAGCCCGCGGCCUAUCAGCUUGUUGGUGGGGUAAUGGCCUACCAAGGCGGCGACGGGUAGCCGGCCUGAGAGGGUGUACGGCCACAUUGGGACUGAGACACGGCCCAGACUCCUACGGGAGGCAGCAGUGGGGAAUAUUGCACAAUGGGCGCAAGCCUGAUGCAGCGACGCCGCGUGGGGGAUGACGGCCUUCGGGUUGUAAACCCCUUUCGGCAGGGACGAAGCUUUUGUGACGGUACCUGCAUAAGAAGCACCGGCUAACUACGUG
rnacentral:rRNA from 1 species